UACGGAGGAUGCAAGCGUUAUCCGGAAUGAUUGGGCGUAAAGCGUCCGCAGGUGGCUGUGUAAGUCUGCUGUCAAAGAGCGAAAGCUCAACUUCGUAAAGGCAGUGGAAACUACACGGCUAGAGUGCGGUAGGGGUGACUGGAAUUCCUGGUGUAGCGGUGGAAUGCGCAGAUAUCAGGAGGAACACCGAUGGCGAAGGCAGGUCACUGGGCCGCAACUGACGCUGAGGAGCGAAAGCUAGGGGAGCGAACGGG
rnacentral:rRNA from 1 species